GUGCUUGCUUCAGCAGCACAUAUACUAAAAUGAGAACAAUACCGAGAAGAUUAGCAUGGCCUCUGCACAAGGAUGACACGUAAAUUCAUAAAGCGUUCCAUAUUUUU
ensembl:snRNA U6 U6 spliceosomal RNA